AUUGAACGCUGGCGGUAUGCUUUACACAUGCAAGUCGAACGGUAGAGGGGCAACCCUUGAGAGUGGCGAACGGGUGAGUAAUACAUCGGAACGUGCCCAGUCGUGGGGGAUAACGUAGCGAAAGCUACGCUAAUACCGCAUACGACCUGAGGGUGAAAGCGGGGGACCUGCAAGGGCCUCGCGCGAUUGGAGCGGCCGAUGGCCGAUUAGGUAGUUGGUGAGGUAAAGGCUCACCAAGCCGACGAUCUGUAGCUGGGCUGAGAGGACGACCAGCCACACUGGGACUGAGACACGGCCCAGACUCCUACGGGAGGCAGCAGUGGGGAAUUUUGGACAAUGGGCGCAAGCCUGAUCCAGCCAUACCGCGUGCAGGAAGAAGGCCUUCGGGUUGUAAACUGCUUUUGUCAGGGAAGAAAUCUUCUGGGCUAAUACCCUGGGAGGAUGACGGUACCUGAAGAAUAAGCACCGGCUAACUACGUGCCAGCAGCCGCCGUAA
rnacentral:rRNA from 1 species